UAAAAGGGUCGGUUGGCUAAAUAUGCCACGCUAGCCCUAGUUCGGUUAGUGUUGUAUGGAAAUCAAGACAUAUGGCCGACAUCAUUUUUGGAAACCUCU